GGAGGGUGCAAGCGUUGUCCGGAUUUAUUGGGUUUAAAGGGUGCGUAGGCGGGUGAUUAAGUCAGUGGUGAAAUCCUACGGCUCAACCGUAGAACUGCCAUUGAAACUGAUCAUCUUGAGUAAAGUCGAGGUAUGCGGAAUUUAUGGUGUAGCGGUGAAAUGCAUAGAUACCAUAAAGAACACCAAUAGCGAAGGCAGUAUACUAGGCUUGAACUGACGCUGAGGCACGAAAGCGUGGGGAGCGAACAGGAUUAGAUACCCUGGUAGUCCACGCUGUAAACUAUGAUCACUCGAUGUAUGCGAUAUACAGUAUGCGUCUUAGCGAAAGCGUUAAGUGAUCCACCUGGGGAGUACGUCCGCAAGGAUG
rnacentral:rRNA from 1 species